GACUCAUAUCUGCUUCUGAUGUUUGAAUCGGCUACAACCUUCAACCGUUAUCUGCUUUGGAGCGGGACCGGCUUGCAACCUAUCUUCCUGAUACCGCUUCUGUCCAGAUUCUUCAGAUAUCAAGAUUGUGGUAGCAGCAUUGUGCGCCUGCAGAACCUACAAAAGGACGCUACACCCCUGAGACCACUGCAGUCAGCGGCUUGUUUGACUGUUACUAAUAUCUGCUUCUGUUGUUUGAAUAGAUUGCAAUCUUCAGCCUGCGUGCCCUUGUUAUCUGACACACAAACGGUCUUCGACAACCUGAUUAUCAACAUGUUCUGAGUCGUCGCAGCUACGUUGUUGCAAGCACCAUUUCCGUCAUCGAAAGCAUAAAAGACGCAUCUGCUCUGCGCUCGUCCUUACUUCAGUGGCAAUGAACAUGUACUGAUCACAUCCUGUGUUACAGCCGCCUUCUCAUUCUUCUUCGAGCUCAUUUCACCCUUUAAGGCUGAUUGCACGCUUUUCAUCAGUUCAUGCUAUGGAUAGAGGCGAGCCCAUGGAGCAAACGUC